ACUGACUGGGUGGGUAGAGGUAGGACCUGGGGUCUCUGGGUGGGUAGGUUGAGGUAGGACCUGGGGUCUCUAGGUGGGUAGAGGUAGGACCUGGGGUCUCUAGGUGGGUAGUGGUAGGACCUGGGGUCUCUGGGUGGGUGGAGGUAGGACCUGAGGUCUCUGGGUGGGUAGAGGUAGGACCUGGGGUCUCUGGGUGAUUGGAGGUAGGACCUGGGGUCUCUGGGUGGGUGGAGGUAGGACCUGGGGUCUCUGGGUGGGUAGAGGUAGGACCUGGGGUCUCUGGGUGGGUGGAGGUAGGACCUGGGGUCUCUGGGUGGGUAGGUAGGUAUGUAGAGGUAGGACCUGAGGUCUCUGGGUAGGUGGAGGUAGGACCUGGGGUCUCUGGGUGGGUAGAGGUAGGACCUGGGGUCUCUGGGUGGGUAGAGGUAGGACCUGGGGUCUCUGGGUAGGUAGUGGUAGGACCUGGGGUCUCUGGGUAGGUAGAGGUAGGACCUGGGGUCUCUGGGUGGUUGGAGGUAGGACCUGGGGUCUCUGGGUGGGUGGAGGUAGGACCUGGGGUUUCUGGGUGGUUGGAGGUAGGACCUGGGGUCUCUGGGUGGGUGGAGGUAGGACCUGGGGUCUCUGGGUGGGUAGAGGUAGGACCUGGGGUCUCUGGGUGGGUGGAGGUAGGACCUGGGGUCUCUGGGUGGGUGGAGGUAGGACCUGGGGUCUCUGGGUGGGUAGGUAGGUAUGUAGAGGUAGGACCUGAGGUCUCUGGGUAGGUAGGUGGAGGUAGGACCUGGGGUCUCUAGGUAGGUAUGUAGAGGUAGGACCUGUGGUCUCUGGGUAGGUAGGUGGAGGUAGGACCUGUGGUCUCUGGGUAGGUAGGUGGAGGUAGGACCUGGGGUCUCUGGGAAAGGAGGUGGAGGUAGGACCUGGGGUCUCUAGGUAGGUAUGUAGAGGUAGGACCUGAGGUCUCUGGGUAGGUAGGUGGAGGUAGGACCUGGGGUCUCUAGGUAGGUAGGUGGAGGUAGGACCUGAGGUCUCUGGGUAGGUAGGUGGAGGUAGGACCUGGGGUCUCUAGGUAGGUAGGUGGAGGUAGGACCUGAGGUCUCUGGGUAGGUAGGUGGAGGUAGGACCUGAGGUCUCUAGGUAGGUAGGUGGAGGUAGGACCUGAGGUCUCUAGGUAGAGGUAGGACCUGAGGUCUCUGGGUAGGUAGGUGGAGGUAGGACCUGGGGUCUCUAGGUAGGUAGGUGGAGGUAGGACCUGGGGUCUCUAGGUAGGUAGGUGGAGGUAGGACCUGGGGUCUCUAGGUAGGUAGGUGGAGGUAGGACCUGGGGUCUCUAGGUAGGUAGGUGGAGGUAGGACCUGAGGUCUCUAGGUAGGUAGGUGGAGGUAGGACCUGAGGUCUCUAGGUAGAGGUAGGACCUGAGGUCUCUGGGUAGGUAGGUGGAGGUAGGACCUGGGGUCUCUAGGUAGGUAGGUGGAGGUAGGACCUGGGGUCUCUAGGUAGGUAGGUGGAGGUAGGACCUGAGGUCUCUGGGUAGGUAGGUGGAGGUAGGCCCUGGGGUCUCUGGGUAGGUAGGUAGGUACGUAUGUAGAGGUAGGACCUGAGGUCUCUGGGUAGGUAGGUAGAGGUAGGCCCUGAGGUCUCUGGGUAGGUAGGUGGAGGUAGGCCCUGGGGUCUCUGGGUAGGUAGGUACGUAUGUAGAGGUAGGACCUGGGGUCUCUAGGUAGGUAGGUAGGUAGGUAUGUAUGUAGAGGUAGGACCUGAGGUCUCUGGGAAAGGAGGUACGUAGAGGUAGGACCUGAGGUCUCUGGGUAGGUAGGUAGGUGGAGGUAGGCCCUGGGGUCUCUGGGUAGGUGGAGGUAGGCCCUGGGGUCUCUGGGUAGGUGGAGGUAGGACCUGGGGUCUCUGGGAAAGGAGGUAGGUAGAGGUAGGACCUACACAUUUUUUUUUCUGAGGUCUUGGCUGAUUUCUUUAGAUUUUCCCAUGAUGUCAAGCAAGGAGGCACUGAGUUUGAAGGUAGGCCUUGAAAUACAUCCACAGGUACACCUUCAAUUGACUCAAAUGAUGUCAAUUAGCCUAUCAGAAGCUUCUAAAGCCAUGACAUCAUUUUCCAAGCUGUUUAAAGGCACAGUCAACUUAGUGUAUGUAAACUUCUGACCCACUGGAAUUGUGAUACAGUGAAUUAUAAGUAAAAUAAUCUGUCUGUAAACAAUUGUUGUAAAAAUGACUUGUCAUGCACAAAGUAGAUGUCCUAAACAACUUGCCAAAACUAUAGUUUGUGGAGUGGUUGAAAAACGAGUUUUAAUGACUCCAACCUAAGUGUAUGUAAACAUCUGUCUUCAACUGUAUAGUCUACUCAUUUACACAAGGUUAUUUGUGGCUUAUUUGAAAAGGCUGUAAUCUGUUGGCUCUCUACCUGCCGGUGCCUUUCUUUGCGAGGCAUUGAAAAACCUCCCUGGUCGAAUCUGUGUUUGAAAUUCACUGCUCAACUGAGGGAACUUACAGAGAUGAGGUAGUCAUUAAAAAAUCAUGUUAAA